CCAGGAUGCAAAGAAGCCCAGAAGCUGCCAUGGGGAGCUCAGAUGUCCUCCAAAAGGGUGGGUCACCGACUGAGCCUUAAAGGAAACCAAUUUCAGCUCAGAGAAAGUAGAAGCCUCCAGGGGAUGCCUGCAUGCUCCACAGGACCGCAAAGUAUCUGAGUUACGCAAUUUAUUCAGAUGUGUGAGGCCUGAAAUAUUACAACACUCUCUUAUCUGCUCCCUUGCGAAUUCAAGCUCUCUUCACUCUCAUCCACUCUACACACCAGAAUCUGACCCUCGCACCUCCACCGAAGUCAGCAUGGUCAACAGCUCCUACUGCCUUCAGAAUAAAGCCCCAUGGCUGUCUGGGACUUCCAGGAUAACUCCCAAACACAUUGGCCUCCCUGUCCAAGCCUUAUCUUCCGUUCCACCCCCAACUCUGAUUGCCUUUUGCCACUCUUGGUUCCACCCAAAAUGAGUCACUCAAACCACACCUCUCCAUCUCUCUGCUGUUAUUUAUACUCUUCUUUGACUACAGCCACCAUCUCAAGUUCCCACAGUGUAUCCUGUCUAUCCUUUCAGAGCUUUGCCAAAUGCCGUCUCCUCCAGGAAGCAUUCCCAGAGUCCAUAGCCAGAAGGAAUCUCUGCCCUGCAAUCUCAUAGCACUUCGUGCCUCUUUUAUGGCACAUUAUUUACCUUUAAGUAACUUAGAGUUAAAUAAAUAUCUUACAGUUCUUUAUCUUCAUGUAUUGCCUCCCCUACCAUACUAUAAACUUUGUGAGGACAGAUAUAAUUCCUCAAAUUAGGGGGAAGAAGUGGUGGUUCAUGCCUGUGAUCCCAACACUCUGGGAGGCCGAAGCAGAAUUGCUUGAGCCCAGGUGUUCAACACCAGCCUGGCCAACAUAGCAAGACAUCGUCUCUACAAAAAUUUUAAAAAUUAGCCGGGUGUGGUGGCAUGUGCCUGUGGCCCCAGCUACUCAGGAGGCUGAGGCCGGAGGAUUGCUUGAGCCUGAGAGGUCAAGGUUGCUGUGAGGUGUGAUCGCACCACUGUACUCCAGCCUGAGCAACAGAGUGAGAUUCUGUCUCGAAAUGAGAUAAAAAAAAAAAUUGGGGGAAGAAAAACUAUACCCUGAGAGUAAAGGGGGUGAUGGGGAGAAACAUUCAACAAGUGCCUAGAACAAAUUACAAAUUAGCAAAGUAAGGCUCAGAGAGGUUCUAUCACUUGGCGAUGUCAGACAGGCAGAGU
rnacentral:lncRNA from 1 species